CACGUAGGGUGCGAGCGUUGUCCGGAAUUAUUGGGCGUAAAGAGCUCGUAGGCGGUGUGUCGCGUCGGCCGUGAAAACCUGCAGCUUAACUGUGGGCUUGCGGUCGAUACGGGCAUCACUGGAGUUCGGCAGGGGAGACUGGAAUUCCUGGUGUAGCGGUGAAAUGCGCAGAUAUCAGGAGGAACACCGGUGGCGAAGGCGGGUCUCUGGGCCGAUACUGACGCUGAGG
rnacentral:rRNA from 1 species